rnacentral:rRNA from 1 species
CUGGUUGAUCCUGCCAGACCCGACUGCUAUCGGAUUGGGAUUUAGCCAUGUUAGUUGUGCGUUCCUUGGCUACAGGGGACGCAGCGUACGGCUCAGUAACACGUGGUCAACCUGCCCUGGAGACGUGGACAAACCCGGGAAACUGGGGCCUAUCCGCGAUAGAUGACCUCAUCUGGAAGGAGUGGUCGUCCAAAGGGCGGCACGGGUAUGCUCCGUGCCUUUCGCUCCAGGAUGGGACUGCGGCCGAUCAGGCUGUUGGCGGGGUAAUGGCCCACCAAACCUGUAACCGGUACGGGCUUUGAGAGAAGGAGCCCGGAGAUGGACACUGAGACAAGGGUCCAGGCCCUACGGGGCGCAUCAGGCGCGAAAACUUCGCAAUGCGCGAAAGCGUGACGAGGCUAGUCCGAGUGCUUCCUGCUAAAGGGAGCUUUUCUCGGCUGUAAAUAGGCCGGGGAAUAAGGGGAGGGCAAGUCUGGUGUCAGCCGCCGCGGUAAUACCAGCUCCUCGAGUGGUCGGGACGAUUAUUGGGCCUAAAGCACCCGUAGCCUGUUCUGUAAGUCCUCUGUUAAAUCCAGUCGCUCAACGGCUGGCCCGCAGAGGAUACUGCAAGACUAGGAGGCGGGAGAGGCGGACGGUACUCCGCGUGUAGGGGUAAAAUCCUUUGAUCCGCGGAAGACCACCAGUGGCGAAUGCGGUCCGCCAGAACGCGCUCGACGGUGAGGGGUGAGAGCU